AUAAUUUAAGAUAACAAUUAUUACAAUCAUAAUUUAUAAUUUAAAUAUUUUUUUCCUGCAGUAGGACCACUUCAUUACUAUAAAUUAUUUAAAUUUUAAACCUGCAUGUUAAUUUUUUAUAAUUUCAAAAAUUCCUAUAUUUCCAAAGUCUAUAAUAAAUUCUUUUUUUUUUUUUAAAGUGUCUGUCUUUAAUUCCAUAUAACUUUCUUACAGAUUAUACCAUCAGUUACCUGAAGUGAAAAAGCAAAAGAGAAAGCAAAGCAAGACGCAUAUGCCCAAAACAGAGCAAGGGCAAAAGAAUUUCAUAAGAAAACAUUAGAGACACUUCGAGCCAAAAAUAUAUGCUGACUUUCCGUACAAAGUGUAAAGGGUUUUUUUUUUUUUAUUAUGUGUAACACAAAGUUAUUUAAGUCAAUAAAUUUUUAAGGAAUU